rnacentral:sRNA from 1 species
AACAGACGACUUGUACCCUGUUAGAUCGAGGACAAUUUUACACGGUUGAUGCCCCGGCCCACUAGUUAAAACUUGGCGACUGGGAUCAAAGGAGCUUAGUAGCGGGGACGAACCAAUUCUAACCUGAUGAAAGCGGGACAAAUAUUCCCAAGAGAAACACACUUCGAUUGGCUGUGUUCGUACCAUUUUCCUCGUUCCACGAUCCCACUACGAGGCGUCAAAUGCCGCCACAUGGGAAUAUAGAGUAAUCGAUAGGCCAGCAACACCCCGAGUCCCCGACGAAUCGACAAGGAAUUCUUCUGACGCCACCAAGUCACCAGUGAUAUGAUGGACAACGAUGGAUCAGAAGGAAUGAAUGCCAAAUAAACGCCGCCUCAAAACAUCGAGGGGAUCCACGGAGCACAAGGAAGGGUCCCCAUUCUCCCCAAUAAUAGCGUGGAGGCGACUGUGGCACCGGUUUUAAUAAGGCUAGACGAUAAUGACUUGAUGACGGGAAUACCUUCCCGGAUAGCUUGGAGGAAAUGUAUUCUGUAUGGAUCUCUUUAGUUGGAUCGGGGUUUCAUCUGUAAUUUCCACCCAUCGUCGGCAGCAUGGCGAUCUCGAAAUCUGACAUGGGACGGACAUGGCUGGCUGCACUGUUUUCGGACAUGGUCAAAAGCACGUUCUGAAUGUGUACAUUGCGUACAGAGUACAGACUCCAAGAAUGCAUC